ensembl:snRNA U6 U6 spliceosomal RNA
GUGCCUGCUUUGGCAGCACGUAUACUAAAAUUGGAACAUACAGAGAAGACUAGCAGGGCCUCUGUGCGAGGAUGACAGGCACAUUCGUGAAGCUCCUUAUUUUUAA